UAUAGUUUUUACAUAUGUAUUUAUAAUGGGCUGGGAUAGGUUAAGGAGAUAAGGUAUUUUUUAACUGUAGUUUUAAAAAUGCUGCUAGAUGAAACAGUGGUUCUGGAGAUUUCUGGCAGAGAGUUCCAGAUUUUGAACCCUUUUAUGUACAUUGAGUUAUUGAAAAGAUUUAACCUGCCAUGGGGAAUGUCAUAGAGAUUGUUGUGCCUAGUAUUAUGUCUAUGGGUCCUAUUGCAACUGUCAAGAAAGCGUUUCAGGUCGAGAUUUAUAUUAAAAUUUAUUGUUCUGUAAAUGUAGGUUACACAGUAGUAUGAGUGAAUGUUUUGUAUAGUGAGUAGAUUUAGGUCUUUGAAGAGUGUGGGGGGUGUUAUCUAGCAGUGGAUUGUGUAAUCAUUCACACCACAGCUUUUUGUUGAGUUAUUAUUGGUUUUAGGUAAUUUGUUGUUGUGGAUCCCCAGACACAAAUAGCAUAGGUGAGGUAAGGGUAGAUCAGUGAAUAGUAUAGUAUAAGUAAUGCUUCAUUCAUUCGUGUUGAUUCUCCGGUACUUCCGGCCCGGGUCUUCUCCAGAUGGUGACCCGGCAGUGGCCCCCCCGGGUGGGGGGUGUUGUUAAUCUUCUUUCUUCUUUCUUGGGCCCUCUGGUUGGAGGGUGUCUUCUAUCUUGCGUUGACUCCCCAGGAGGAAAGUGUCUUCUCGCUUCAGAAGUGCAGUCGGGCAGAGGCAGCAAUUAAAGGGUCGAUUGGAGCCACACCCCAGCUUUAGCAGACAGCAAAGUGCUGGGGAAACUUAUCUCUUUGGUGUGAGGUUGUCCGUGCCAGAGAGAGAAUAGACCUGGAGCUGGAGUGUGAUGCUGAGGCUGCUAAGAAAACGCAGUCCAGACCUGACUCCAGCACGUGAGCCAGGCACUGCUGACCACCUGUCAUGAUGGUUGGCACUGCUGACCACCUGUUAUGAAGAUGGUUGGCACUCCUGGCCACCUGUUAUGAUAGUUGGCACAUUGACCACCUGUCAUGAUGGUUAGCACUGUUGACCACGUGUCAUGCUGACAGUUAUUGAGUCGCCACACCUUGAAUGACUGUGAUGUCGCCACAUUUUCUGAAACAUGGCGAUUGAAUUAAUAGUAGUAAAUGUGAUCAAUAAGCAGCUAAAAGGCCAUAAGCAGGGGUUAGGUAGUUGCUCAGGGCCUUUCACGUUGUCUUCAAUACUUUAUCAGGUGCUUGCAAUAUGAGCACUGGUGUAUGUGUACUCGCCUGUAUGUGAUGUGUGUGUGUGUUCGUGUGCACACACGUGGACAUGUAUGUGGGUUUAUGACUUGUUAUCAAAUAUUUGCAUAAAACAAAAUUUAACUUAGUGGUUUUUUAUAAUAAAUCUAUCAUAAACUGUAGCAAUAAAGUGAUAAGUUAAUAAAAAUAAUAAAGCUGGUGUUCCAGUGUCUAGAUUUACAUAUAUAAGUGUAAAACUGUAAAUAAAUUUAAUUUUUGUAAAUGAA